AGUCAGAUCGCCGUCAGUGAUAUCGAAUGACCAUCUACCGUGGAGGGAGCUGUCACUUGGGAGACAUGUCAGAUCGCUGUCAACGAUACCGAAUGGCCGCCUAUUGUGGAGGGAGCUGUCACUUGGGAGACGUAAAGAAGAAACCCAGAACGUGUUCCCUCAAGGAACUUAGGACCUGAUAGGGAAGACAAGCAAGCAUAUCUUAACAAAUGAACAAUCGCUAAGCACAUGAAACCAAGUGAAGCUGUAUUUGGCCUUCGUAUUCAAAGACAACGAAGUUCAUCUUUGAGUGAUUGUGGCCGGAAAAGCCAAUGUGGGACCCACAACCCCAGCCAUAUUGAGCGCACGCUCAAAAGUCAUCCCUUGCGUUGUCACUCUUAACGACUGCAGCAUCUGGUGCUGUCUUCUAUUUUGCCCUCUCAUCUCUUGUUUCUUAUAAAACUUUUGCUCCCUCAUCUCUCCUUCCUUAUAAAGCUUUUGCUCGAA